rnacentral:rRNA from 1 species
CGCGUAGGUGGGAUAGUAAGUCUACUUUAAAAAGUGCGGGGCUCAACCCCGUGAUGGGGUGGAAACUGCUAUUCUUGAGUGCAGGAGAGGAAAGCGGAAUUCCCAGUGUAGCGGUGAAAUGCGUAGAUAUUGGGAGGAACACCAGUGGCGAAGGCGGCUUUCUGGACUGUGUCUGACACUGAGGCGCGAAAGCUAGGGGAGCGAACGGGAUUAGAUACCCCGGUAGUCCUAGCCGUAAACGAUGGGUACUAGGUGUAGGGGUAUCGACCCCCCCUGUGCCGGAGUUAACGCAAUAAGUACCCCGCCUGGGGAGUACGGCCGCAAGGUUGAA